rnacentral:lncRNA from 1 species
AGAAACACCAAUGCUGGUUGCUGUGCUCACGUAUGUGGGGUAUGGCGUACUCACCCUCUUUGGAUAUCUUCGAGAUUUCUUGAGGUAUUGGAGAAUUGAAAAGUGUCACCAUGCAACAGAAAGAGAAGAACAAAAGAUGCAGUUAAAUGAAAACAUUCUACAAAGAAAGCUGAAAAAUAACAAGGUUAAAGAUAUCAAAGCAUUCAUCAUGGGUUUAAUCAAGAAGAACCUAAGGAGGUGGGCGGCACUAUCCCUGUUUUAUGGAUUAGAAAUCAAAAAGUCACAAGUUAAACAACGUUUCCCAAGAUGCCAGGUGUCAGAGCUGCUGUGUGGACAGAGGACUGUGAAGUGAAAAAGCCUUGCUCUUUCUGUUCAUACCAGCAUGCUGAAUCCCAGGUUGUGUUUACCAUUUUCUGAAAAGGUUGUAUUCUUUGGAAUUAAUAAUGUGUUUUCUCAUAGAUACAUUAUACAUAGUUGGGUGAUUCACACAUCAGCUCCUCUCCCCAGACAAACAAGCUGUAAUACAGAAUGUGGCCAACCGAUUCUAUUUACGGUAAACAACACUCUUGUUUUAGGAAUGGCAAACAUAUGAGCAUGGUUGUCUGGGGAAGAGGGCUUCUUCAUUCACUUCACUUUUCUCUGCAUGUUCCUUUGUACCUCUGAAGGGUUUUUUGUUUGUUUGUUUGUUUGUUUAUUUUUUGAGACAGAGUCUCGCUUUGUCAACCCAGGCUGGAGUGCAGUGGUGCGAUCUCGGCUCACUGCAAGCUCUGCCUCCUGGGUUCACACCAUUCUUCUGCCUCAGCCUCCCAAGUAGCUGGGACUACAGGCACCUGCCACCACGCCCGGCUAAUUUUUUUUUUUUUUUUGAGACAAGUCUUGCUCUGUCGCCCAGGCUGGAGUGCAGUGGCUCGGUCUCGGCUCACUGCAAGCUCCGCCUCCCGGGUUCACACCAUUCUCUGGCCUCAGCCUCCCCAGUAUCUGGGACUACAGGUGCCUGCCACCGUGCCCGGCUAAUUUUUUUUGUGUUUUUAGUAGAGACGGGGUUUUACUGUGUUAGCCAGGAUGGUCUCAAUCUCCUGACCUUGUGAUCCACCCACCUCGGCCUCCCAAAGUGCUGGGAUUACAGGUGUGAACCACUGUGCCUGGCCAGUUUUUUUGUUUUUUUUACUUGUUAUUGACUUGAAGCUCACUUCUGGAGUUGUAUACAUUACAUAUGUGUUACCUAGUCUCCAUAAAUAAAUAAAAUGAGGGUUAAAGAUGCCUAAUUUUACUAAAAAUAAAACAAACCUGUGUGUUCUUGGCAUGUCCCACAUGGCAAAAGGUUGUCUUUUAGCCCAGGCAAAUGUACCAGAUUAGAGAAGGACUUAAGACAUUAGAGUUUUUUUGUGGUUCCUGUGCGUCCGAGGAAAAGAGGCAGGUGUGGGGUGAGCAAAGUCAACGCUGAGACGAGCCAGUGAACAUUGAUUGUAGAAGAAACAAUUAUUCAGGUAAUGGAUAGUGGUCAUGUGCAAAUGGGAAGAGUAUAUCACGAAAACAUUGUCAGUUACUAGGAAGACAAAACCAGUCAGUAGAUACAUGGAUUCAAAAGUGGCUCCUGGGAGAACUCAAGAUUAGGCAUCCUUUCUCUCUCAUCUCAACCAUCUUGUACUCCAUCCGAGCCCCAGCACAAGUUGGCCAUCCUACUCAUUGCCCUGCAAGUUAAUUUCACAAAGAAGGUAAAUAAGUUUUUUGAAUGCAAAGCCCUGCAUUCAGAAGUUGGUCCAGUAACCCUAAGUAAUUUUUAUCUUUUAAAACCCAAACACAUUUUUAACAUUUUUUAUUUUAUUAUCAUUAUUUUUUAGACAAGAGUCUCGCUCAGUCACCCAGGCUGGAGUACAGUGGUGUGAUCUCGGCUCACUGCAACCUCCGCCUCCCGGGUCCAAGCAAUUCUCAUGCCUCAGCUUCCCAAGUAGCAGGGAGUACAGGCAUGUGCUACCACUCCCGAGAUAAUUUUGUAUUUUUAGUAGAAACGAGGUUUCACCAUGUUGGCCAGGCUGUUCUCAAACUCCUUGACCUCAAACGAUCCACCUGCCUCGGCCUCCCAAAGUGCUGGGAUUACAGAUGCGAGCCACUGUGCCUGGCCCACAUUUUUAAUACGUUUUGAUCCCCCUUCUCCCCCUGAGCAUGUCCACUCAGAGUGCAUCUACAGUACGUUGAUUUUGUAUAGCCCUCAGUGACAGCUUACCAUACCCUUCCUAGGUUGUACAGUAUUGUAGUUACUUGUUCACAGGCCUGUAUCCUCCUACUAGACUGAGUUGAUGGCAGUUAUGACCGAUGGUAGCUGAAGUUUUAUUUAAAUAUUCAAACUAAAAACUCUUUAUCUGCAGGGACCUCUCCUAGUGUAGAUGCAUAGUCGAAACUUGAUAAUUGACGUGUAUUGCUGGUGGUGAGGGAAGUGCUGAUUGUGGUGCAGACAGCACAUUCCUGGAUGAGGGGAUAGUAUAGGCAAAGGCAUGAAGAAUGUUUGGGAGAAUCUGGAAUGUAGACAGAAGAGAAAUUGUGUUUUGAAAAUCAAAGUAAGAAGUUUGGUAGGCAAUGAGGAGUAUUGUUUUUGUUUUUGUUUUUAAAUAGAGACAGCGUCUCGCCAUGUUGCCCAGGCUGGUCUCAAACUCCUGUGCUCAAGCGAUCCUCCUGCCUUGGCCUCCCAAAGUGUUGGGAUUAUAGGAGUGAGCCACCAUGACCCCAAGGGCAGUUUUUGAUCAGGGGAUUUUUCAUACAGCUUGUGCAGCUGGUGCUCAAAGUGUGAUGAAUGAAUGAAACCAACAAGAUGUAUCUGAAUUACUUUGUGAGUACAUUAUCUUUGGAACUUGUUUCAUGUUUACAGAAAGUAAAUUGGUGGUUUAAGUGUUGGGAGCUGCCUGUGUAUCCUUUGUGUGAAAGAAUUAGAACACACAGAUUUUAUUCUUAAGUAGUUUCUAAUUUUGUUGAGGAAACAAACAUUUGAAAGUUAUGGGCCUUUGCAAAACCAUUAUACAAGUAAAUAAUACUUAGAUUAUAUGAAGAUAUAGAACAAAAAAAGUAUCUGAGUAGCAUAGGGUUAAUCAGGAAACAAUUCUUGGAGGAAGUAAUACAAGGAAAUGGGAGGCUGAGGAGAGCAUUUGCCUCUGCAGUUUAUGGAGAGGAUUUUAUUAAAUUAUUCAAAUUCAUUUCAAUAGAAUAUUCCCAGUAGAUAACAUUAGCAUUUAAAACAGCCAACUUCUGCCAUUUUCUUACAAAAAUUCAGCUUUUAGAGGGAAAGGAAAAGUCAUUCCUUUCCUGUGAUAGAUCAUGUUUGUUUUCUAAUGUUGGAUUAGAGAUGGGGAAAGAGGGAGGCAAAUUAAGUGUUAAACUGGAAGGAGGUGAGGGAAAGUGGUUGCUUGGGAUCAUAAAAUGCAAACAUAAUGUUGCUACUUCCUCAUUUCACUGAGAGAGUGGUAUUCAUAACCACAUCCUGGUUUUCUUCCUCAUUUCAUUAUAAAAGAGAGCCCAGUUUAACUGUGUUAAUUCUUUGAUGUAAGGAAAUACCGUAUGUUGCUUUGAAUACAACUAAAUCACAUGAUCAUACCAAUAAAGAUGAGUUACCAUGAGUUUGUUCUAUUUUAUAUACAUUGCAUAAAAUUCUUGGAAUUCUUUACCCCUUAAUCCUCUGUUAUUCGUGGUGUUUUGGAUGAGAAUGUUGUUUUUCUCAAUCUAUGGAUUAUUUCUUUGUGAUGUGAGGUGAAGCUAGUAGUUCAGAAACACGUACGUGACAGAUACAGCAAAAGCUUGAAUUAAUAAAG